UACGUAGGGACCGAGCGUUGUCCGGAUUCAUUGGGCGUAAAGAGCUCGUAGGCGGCUGUUCAAGUCGAACGUGAAAACUCAGAGCUCAACUCCGAGCCUGCGUUCGAUACUGGACGGCUAGAGUCUGGUAGGGGGAUCUGGAAUUCCUGGUGUAGCGGUGGAAUGCGCAGAUAUCAGGAGGAACACCGGUGGCGAAGGCGGGAUCCUGGGCCAGUACUGACGCUGAGGAGCGAAAGCGUGGGGAGCGAACAGG
rnacentral:rRNA from 1 species